AAAUUGAAGAGUUUGAUCAUGGCUCAGAUUGAACGCUGGCGGCAGGCCUAACACAUGCAAGUCGAACGGUAACAGGAAGCAGCUUGCUGCUUCGCUGACGAGUGGCGGACGGGUGAGUAAUGUCUGGGAAACUGCCUGAUGGAGGGGGAUAACUACUGGAAACGGUAGCUAAUACCGCAUAACGUCGCAAGACCAAAGAGGGGGACCCUCGGGCCUCUUGCCAUCGGAUGUGCCCAGAUGGGAUUAGCUUGUUGGUGGGGUAACGGCUCACCAAGGCGACGAUCCCUAGCUGGUCUGAGAGGAUGACCAGCCACACUGGAACUGAGACACGGUCCAGACUCCUACGGGAGGCAGCAGUGGGGAAUAUUGCACAAUGGGCGCAAG
rnacentral:rRNA from 1 species